rnacentral:rRNA from 1 species
ACGGGAGGCAGCAGCUAAGAAUAUUCCGCAAUGGACGAAAGUCUGACGGAGCGACGCCGCGUGGAUGAAGAAGGCCGGAAGGUUGUAAAAUCCUUUUAAACAGGAAGAAUAAGUACUGAAGGGAAUGUCAGUAUGGUGACGGUACUGUUUGAAUAAGCAACGGCUAAUUACGUGCCAGCAGCCGCGGUAACACGUAAGUUGCGAGCGUUGUUCGGAAUUAUUGGGCGUAAAGGGUAUGUAGGCGGUUCUGAAAGCUUGGUGUGAAAGGCAGAGGCUUAACCUCUGGACUGCAUUGAGAACUGCAGGACUAGAAUUACUGAAGGGCAGCUAGAAUUCCAUGUGUAGGGGUGAAAUCUGUAGAUAUGUGGAAGAAUACCAAUGGCGAAGGCAAGCUGCUGGCAGAUGAUUGACGCUGAGGUACGAAAGUGCGGGGAGCAAACAGGAUUAGAUACCCUGGUA